rnacentral:rRNA from 1 species
GUUGACCUCGGAUCAGGUAGGAAUACCCGCUGAACUUAAGCAUAUCAAUAAGCGGGAAGAA